rnacentral:rRNA from 1 species
CCUACGGGAGGCAGCAGUGAGGAAUAUUGGUCAAUGGACGAGAGUCUGAACCAGCCAAGUAGCGUGAAGGAUGACUGCCCUAUGGGUUGUAAACUUCUUUUAUAAAGGAAUAAAACGAGGCACGUGUGCCUUUUUGCAUGUACUUUAUGAAUAAGGAUCGGCUAACUCCGUGCCAGCAGCCGCGGUAAUACGGAGGAUCCGAGCGUUAUCCGGCUUUAUUGGGUUUAAAGGGAGCGUAGAUGGGUUGUUAAGUCAGUUGUGAAAGUUUGCGGCUCAACCGUAAAAUUGCAAUUGAUACGGGCAGUCUUGAGUACAGUUGAGGUAAGCGGAAUGCGUGGUGUAGCGGUGAAAUGCUUAGAUAUCACGAGGAACCCCGAUUGCGAAGGCAGCAUACUAAACUGUGACUGACAUUGAUGCUCGAAAGUGUGGGUAUCAAACAGGAUUAGAUACCCCGGUAGUC